rnacentral:rRNA from 1 species
UACAGAGGGGGCAAGCGUUGUCCGGACUUACUGGGUGUAAAGCGCAUGCAGGUGGCUGUGCAAGUAUGCUGUGAAAGCCCCGUGCUUAACACGGGGAGGCCAGUAUAGACUGCACGGCUCGAGGACUGCAGAGGGUAGGGGAAUUGCUGGUGUAGUGGUGAAAUGCGUAGAGAUCAGCAGGAACACCAAGGACGAAGGUACCUACCUGGGCAGUAACUGACACUCAAGUGCGAAAAGCGUGGGGAGCGAACCGG